rnacentral:antisense_RNA from 1 species
UUCUAUGGCGGCUCGGGCAGGGGCGACUUCGGUCGCGCCGGUAUCGUUGAGACCGGUAACGCUAACCUUGUCCGAGUUGCCACCCAC